rnacentral:rRNA from 1 species
AUUGCCUCAGUAACGGCGAAGUGAAGCGGCAAGAGCUCAAAUUUGAAAGCUGGCCCCCUCGGGGUCCGCAUUGUAAUUUGCAGAGGAUGCUUCGGGAGUGGCCCCCAUCUAAGUGCUCUGGAACGGGCCGUCAUAGAGGGUGAGAAUCCCGUAUGGGAUGGGGUGUCCGCGACCAUGUGAAGCUCCUUCAACGAGUCGAGUUGUUUGGGAAUGCAGCUCUAAAUGGGUGGUAAAUUUCAUCUAAAGCUAAAUAUUGGCCGGAGACCGAUAGCGCACAAGUAGAGUGAUCGAAAGAUGAAAAGCACUUUGAAAAGAGAGUUAAAAAGCACGUGAAAUUGUUGAAAGGGAAGCGCUUGCGACCAGACUCGCCUACGGGGUUCAGCCGGUAUUCGUACCGGUGUACUUCCCCGUGGGCGGGCCAGCGUCGGUUUGGGCGGCCGGUCAAAGGCCCUCGGAAUGUAACGCCUCUCGGGGCGUCUUAUAGCCGAGGGUGCCAUGCGGCCAGCCCAGACCGAGGAACGCGCUUCGGCACGGACGCUGGCAUAAUGGUCGUAAGCGACCCGUCUUGAAACACGGACCAAGGAGUCUAACAUCUACGCGAGUGUUCGGGUGUCAAACCCGUGCGCGCAGUGAAAGCGAACGGAGGUGGGAACCCUCACGGGUGCACCAUCGACCGAUCCUGAUGUCUUCGGAUGGAUUUGAGUAAGAGCGUAGCUGUUGGGACCCGAAAGAUGGUGAACUAUGCCUGAAUAGGGCGAAGCCAGAGGAAACUCUGGUGGAGGCUCGCAGCGGUUCUGACGUGCAAAUCGAUCGUCGAAUUUGGGUAUAGGGCGAAAGACUAAUCGAACCAUCU